GCCGGGUUAGCUCAGUUGGUAGAGCAACUGAUUUGUAAUCAGUAGGUCGUCGGUUCGAUUCCGUCCCCCGGCUCCA
rnacentral:tRNA from 1 species